AACCUAGCACACCUGCGGUGUGUACCUGCGGAAGGAUCAUUACAACAAGGCUCCCUGGCCCCUCGAAGCUUCGGCGGAAGGGGGCUACAGCCUGACUUUAUACCCACCCUUUGCCUAUGUGUACCCCUAUUGCUUCCCUCGGCGGGUUCGCCCGCCGACAGGAACCAACUAAACCCUUUGCAUUAUACAUUUAACACUUCCGAUACAAAACUAAAUUAUUACAACUUUUAACAAUGGAUC
rnacentral:misc_RNA from 1 species